ACACCUCAACCGUUGUGGUUUACCACAAUCGGCUUGGACUUUUGGAGGGUUUUGCUGGCCCCUUGUGUGGGGUCGGCUCCUCUCAAACAAAUCAGCUUACCAGUGUUUGGUGAUGUUGCAGGUGUGAUAACUAUCUACGCUUGCAGCUGUCUACCAUGCAACCUUCAGCGAUGGGGGUUCGCUGGGGCUCACAGAUGUCUCUCCUGAGCGAAGACAGCUUUUUGGAA
rnacentral:misc_RNA from 1 species